rnacentral:rRNA from 1 species
AGUGAACGCUGGCGGUAGGCCUAACACAUGCAAGUCGAACGGGAGCACAGAGGAGCUUGCUCCUUGGGUGGCGAGUGGCGGACGGGUGAGGAAUACAUCGGAAUCUACUCUGUCGUGGGGGAUAACGUAGGGAAACUUACGCUAAUACCGCAUACGACCUACGGGUGAAAGCAGGGGAUCUUCGGACCUUGCGCGAUUGAAUGAGCCGAUGUCGGAUUAGCUAGUUGGCGGGGUAAAGGCCCACCAAGGCGACGAUCCGUAGCUGGUCUGAGAGAAUGCUCAGCCAAACUGGACCUGAGACACGGUCCAAACUCCUACGGGAGGCAGCAGUGGGGAAUAUUGGACGAUGGGCGCAAGCCUGAUCCAGCCAUACCGCGUGGGUGAAGAAGGCCUUCGGGUUGUAAAGCCCUUUUGUUGGGAAAGAAAUCCAUCUGGUUAAUACCCGGGUGGGAUGACGGUACCCAAAGAAUAAGCACCGGCUAACUUCGUGCCAGCCGCCGCCGUAA